GGAGGGGUCGGGAGUGGUUAUCCCAAGUAGUCUUGAAAACUACUAGGGUCGAAAGGUCCUCGUGAGUUCGAAUCUCACCCCCUCCG
rnacentral:tRNA from 1 species